rnacentral:tRNA from 1 species
GCCUUCGUGGUGUAGUGGUCAGCACACUGAGCCGGUAUUUCAGAGGUCCGUGGUUCGAUUCCCGGGAAAAGCC